AGAUCUCUGUUAAAAGAACAAAUCAUUUGUGUAUACAGAGAUAAAUCUAGACCAAACUUUUUGAAAUACGUGUCAUGGAGUCAAUUGCGUGAUGUUUAGCCUUUGCUAGUAAGUCAUCGUUUUAGAUAAAUUAGCAGAUGAUGUCCUACUCAGUUUUCUAUAGUUUCAGACUGUCAGUGUUCUUAUACAAAUUGAAUAUGUACAUACUCUGGGUAUUUGUGAUGUGUUCUAACAGCUGUUGAAAGACAAGUUUUAGCCUUAAUCUUUUUUUGUUUGGCAUUUUCACAGUAAAAACAAGUUAGAACUAUGCUUCAUUUCAAUCUUAUCCUUAGAGAGGACUUUAUCUUGUUUGGAAGGUUAGUACAAAAUUCUGACGUUCAUGAGCACAAGAGCAGCACAGUCUAUCUUCUGAUACGCAGUUAGAAUUAUUACUUUAAAUAAUUUUUGGGUCCUGAAAAUUCAGAAGCAUACUUUCAUUGAGCAUACAAUAUUCAACUUCCUCAAAAUAGUUAAAUUUCUGGCCAUUAUAUUGAUUCAUUUGAUUUGCUGUGGUUCAAUUCCUACCCAAAAUUCAGUUUCUCUCAGUCCCCUUGAAACUUGAAUGAGCUGGUAUCUCUGAUUUUAAUCCUUUAUUUCAAGGGGAGUUGUUCUUAUGGACAAUAUUUCUCUAUCUUCAAAGAUGUAGGUGACAUCAGUUGCAGUAUGUUAGAGAGGAACUUGGCAAAUCUCUUCAAUAUUACGUGUCCUCAGAGUAGUUCAGCGUUCUGCAGCUGUAGAUCUUCAGGAAUUGAGACAUUUCUGCCCCAGACCUGGAAAAAUACUGCGUUUAUAGAGAAGGAAGGAAGGAGAAUCUGAACUUCAUAUUUCCUGCAUUUCUUCAGGUUUAUCUUCUCAAAACUUGAAAUCCAUGUCUUGAACAAACUGAAGAGCAUGAACCUGCUGAUCUCUGAUAUACUGGUGUCCUUGCCAAACCAGAGACCUACAGGUAGAUAUGGCCUCUUUGUGAAAUCUUGGGCACAGCCAUGCGUGAAUGAGGGACGCUUUUCCUUCAGUGAGCCAACAGCCUACGUUCUCAGAAACUAUUUGAAGUAUGCUGGGCAGCACAUUUCAUGCAAAAGAAAAGACUAUCAGAUACAUACUUGUGCCUGUGUGGACAGUCGUUUUACCUAACAGUGGUACCGUAGCACAAUCCACAUGUGGAUAUUCUGAGAAAUAAGCAAUUUAUUCGUUAUGAUGUAGCAGAUUUUUUCAGAUUCUUUGUCUCCAUUUUUGCAACCAUCAGUUAUUUCAUUUACUAUUUAUUAGGUGUAUUACAAAUGGCAGCAUUUUGUUAUUUUAUCAGGCUAGGGUUUUCUUUUUAUCCAGCUUUCAUAUUCUGCUGUUUCCCUUACUGCCUUUGGGAUUUUUCUGGAUAUGUCUCAUUCCUUAUGUCUCUUACUAGUAUUCAUGGUAAUUAAAAAUGUGUAAGAAAGGACUGUUUGAAUCCAGUCUGCCCUUGUAGGAACACUAGGAGAUGAGACUCUGAAGCUGGUAGUAAAUAACAGUGGGUUUUUUUUCAGAAACUUAAAGACUGAACUUGGCAGUGUGCUCCAGUGUCUGAUUUCUCUCUUUCCUGCUUUUUAAUAGGAUAGCAGUCACAUAUGUUCUGCGUGACUUCUGUACGUUGUUAGACUUGAUUUUCUGUCAUUGCUCUGAUAUGCUGCUGCUCCUGCAGUCAGUUCUGCUGUUGUUAUCUCCUUCGUUUUGUUCCCUGGGGUUGUUAUUUCUGCAGGUUUUGGGUACCUGCAUUUAUGACAUUUCUCAAGUGUAUUUCAGGGGGUGUAUUUUAGCGCAAGUCGGUGGGGUGGAGUAAUAGUUUGUCAUUUGAUACGCUGAUUUUGGCAGAGUUCUCUGAGCAUGAAACUAUAAUAGACUGGAUAUUAAGGAGCAACGUUGAAGUUUCCUCAUGUACUAUGAAAUGAUGUUUGUGUGAACUGUUAGAAUCCAGUUUCUCAAGCUGUGCUGAGCUGAAGAUGCUAAGCUUCACCUCCUUUUCUUCUAAGUAGAGAGACAACGUGAGCAAGUGUUUUGGAGGGACUGAAAGUGUAUUCUUGCCUCUGCCACUGAGUUGAGACUGCUCAAUUGGCUUAAUCAAAGCUUUGUUUCUUUUUCUACUGUACUCCUGAGUGCACUCUUUAAAAAAGCAUCUGGGAGAUGGAUGUGUUUUACUUUAUGUUCAGGUGAGAUCCAACUGCAAUUGGUUCUCGGGUUGCUGUUGUAGUUAGAACAAUAAAUACAUUACAUUCAUUAU
rnacentral:lncRNA from 7 species